GUUUGAUUUCUGCUCAGGAUGAACGCUAGCGAUAGGCUUAACACAUGCAAGUCGAGGGGCAGCAUAAUUUUACUUGCUAAGAUUGAUGGCGACCGGCGCACGGGUGCGUAACGCGUAUGCAACUUGCCUGUCAGUGGGGGAUAACCCGGAGAAAUUCGGACUAAUACCGCAUAUACUUAUUUUGUUGCAUGACAGAUUAAGGAAAGAUUUAUUGCUGACAGAUAGGCAUGCGUUCCAUUAGUUAGUUGGUGAGGUAACGGCUCACCAAGACAGCGAUGGAUAGGGGGACUGAGAGGUUGACCCCCCACACUGGUACUGAGAUACGGACCAGACUCCUACGGGAGGCAGCAGUGAGGAAUAUUGGUCAAUGGGCGAAAGCCUGAACCAGCCAAGUCGCGUGAAGGAUGACGGUUCUAUGGAUUGUAAACUUCUUUUGUACAGGAUUAAAAGCUUCUACGUGUAGGGGAAUUGCAGUUACUGUACGAAUAAGCAUCGGCUAACUCCGUGCCAGCAGCCGCGGUAAUACGGAGGAUGCGAGCGUUAUCCGGAUUUAUUGGGUUUAAAGGGUGCGUAGGUGGCAGAGAAAGUCAGGGGUGAAAAGCUGCAGCUCAACUGUAGUCUUGCCUUUGAAACUUCUCAGCUAGAGUGUAGAAGAGGUAUGUGGAAUGUGUGGUGUAGCGGUGAAAUGCAUAGAUAUCACACAGAACUCCGAUUGCGAAGGCAGCAUACUGGGCUAUAACUGACACUGAAGCACGAAAGCGUGGGUAUCGAACAGGAUUAGAUACCCUGGUAGUCCACGCAGUAAACGAUGAAUACUAGGUUUGUGCGAUAUACUGUAUGAGCCUAAGCGAAAGCGAUAAGUAUUCCACCUGGGGAGUACGCCGGCAACGGUGAAACUCAAAGGAAUUGACGGGGGCCCGCACAAGCGGAGGAACAUGUGGUUUAAUUCGAUGAUACGCGAGGAACCUUACCCGGGCAUUGAAUGUAGAUGAUGUAUGAUGAAAGUUGUAUUCCCUUCGGGGCAUCUAUGUAGGUGCUGCAUGGUUGUCGUCAGCUCGUGCCGUGAGGUGUCGGCUUAAGUGCCAUAACGAGCGCAACCCGCGUUGAUAGGUACUAACAGGUAAAGCUGAGGACUCUAUCGAUACAGCCGUCGUAAGACGAGAGGAAGGAGCGGAUGACCGUCAAUCAGCACGGGCCUUACAUCCGGGGCGACACACGUGUUACAAUGGUAGGGGACAAGAGCUGCUACCGGGCGACCGGAUGCGAAUCUCCCAACCCUAAUCCAGUUCGGAUCCGAGUCUGCACUCGACUUCUGGAAGCUGGAUCGCUAGUAAUCCGCAUCAGCAUGGCGCGUGAAUACUUCCCGGCUUGUACAACCGCCGUCAGCAUGGAGUUGGAGUACUGAAAUCUACCCGAGGGCGAUAAGGAAC
rnacentral:rRNA from 1 species